ACGCUAAUACCGCAUAACGCGCUGGGGGGACAUCCCUUUGGCGCCAAAGGAGCAAUCCGCUAUAGGAUGGGCUCGCGUCCGAUUAGAUAGUUGGCGGGGUAACGGCCCACCAAGUCGACGAUCGGUAGCCGGACUGAGAGGUUGAACGGCCACAUUGGGACUGAGACACGGCCCAGACUCCUACGGGAGGCAGCAGUGGGGGAUAUUGCACAAUGGAGGGAACUCUGAUGCAGCGACGCCGCGUGAGGGAAGAAGGUUUUCGGAUUGUAAACCUCUGUCUUCGGUGACGAAACGAGACGGUAGCCGAGGAGGAAGCCACGGCUAACUACGUGCCAGCAGCCGCGGUAAUACGUAGGUGGCAAGCGUUGUCCGGAAUUACUGGGUGUAAAGGGAGCGUAGGCGGGAAAGCAAGUUGAAUGUUUAAGGUACGGGCUCAACCUGUACAAACGUUCAAAACUGUUUUUCUUGAGCGGAGUAGAGGUAAGCGGAAUUCCUAGUGUAGCGGUGAAAUGCGUAAAUAUUAGGAGGAACACCAGUGGCGAAGGCGGCUUACUGGGCUUUAACUGACGCUGAGGCUCGAAAGCGUGGGUAGCAAACAGGAUUAGAUACCCUGGUAGUCCACGCCGUAAACGAUGAUUACU
rnacentral:rRNA from 1 species